CGAAUAGCGAAAUGAAGAGAGCUAUCCGUCGACAGUCCAGUUUAAUACAUCCGAAUUGUAAUACUGUCAUGGAAUUGCUCUCUUUGUAUAAUAUUCG
rnacentral:pre_miRNA from 1 species